UUAUACUCAUUUUUUUUUGAAUUUUUUUUCUAUUAAUUAAAUUAACUAAAUUGGUAUUAUAUAUUCUUAAUUUUUGUUUUUUAUCAGCAAAUAUUAAUUAUUAAUUUUAUUAGUUUUUUUUAGUAAAAAAAAUUUGAAUCUAUAACCUCUCUUUUUCCUUCUUCCUUUAUCUAUCAAAUCAACCUUAUAAUUAUUUGGUAUUCUUAAUUUUUGUUUAUAUGUAGAAUGUGACAUUGCACGGGCAAUGCAAAGUUUUCAGGGGUAAUAGCAAUGGUCCCUCUGAGUUGCUCUUUUCGGUGAAGAGAUCGUCAAUAAUCCCGAGUGGGAAGAUGAUUAGAUUAGAUGUCUUCCUUGAAAACAAGAGAAAAGGAAGCAUGUGUGAUUUUAGAGUCAUCGUUCGUGGAAGUAAAAAUUCAUGCACUAUUUAUGCCGGUGAAUCUCCAACUAUUGUUGCCAAGGUGUGUAUUGCAUGUGUUCUGGGCAUGUUUUUAUAUACACAUUAAUUUAAUUACCUAUCUAGUAUGGGUUUGGAUAAUUGCUGAUAUAAAGUGAUGUGUAAUUUAUAUUUAAAUAUUUUUAUGAUAAAAUUAAGUUAAGAGUAAAAUUUAGUAUAAUUUUUUUAUCCUAGUUAGAAUUGCUUAACUCAGGAUCAAUUUUAGAUCCAAAAUCGAUUAUGAAUCUUUUUUAACAUAAAAUCAAACAUAUAAUUUUUGUUCUAAAAUCAAUUAUGAACUUGAAAAUAAUUCUUUUUUUUUUUUUUGCUUUUAACUCAUAAUCAAUUCUAACAUGAAACAAAGCACACAUACUUUUUUCUUGAUAAUUAUCGGAAACCUUGAGCACACACAAAAUGAACAUUUCCCUUUUAAUACGAUUUAUAACCUAAGGACAAAUUAUAAUUCGAACCCUAAACCACUUUUAUUGUGCCAAACUCUUAUUGAUCCAAACACAUAAUUAAUACAACUGAAUGGAUAUAAUGACUACAUUUUAUCGCCCUCUUUCAUGUAGAUGGAGAAUAAUGGAGGCUUCAAAGUCUUGGUCUAUCCCAACGUGGACUACGCAUUCAUAGUGACACUACUUAUGAUUAUUGAUGACAUCAAAGAUUAUGAUGUGUUGGUAAAUGCGACGGUGAGUAGUGUCCUAACUGUGGCGACGGGGGGUAUCUUACCUAUUCUGACAUUGUUUGAGGGAGAAAAUUUAGAAGAAGAAACCUUAGAUGGAGAAAACUUAGAAGAAGAAUACUUACAAGAAGGAGAAAACAACUCAGGUGGAGAAAACUUAGAUGGAGAAAACAACCCAGAAGGAGAAAAUUUAGAAGAAGAAACCUUAGAUGGAGAAAACUUAGAAGAAGAAUACUUACAAGAAGGAGAAAACAACUCAGGUGCAGAAAACUUAGAUGGAGAAAACAAUCCAAAAGGAGAAAAUUUAGAUGGAGAAAACAACCCAGAAGGAGAAAAUUUAAAUGGAGAAAACUUAGAAGUAGAAAACAACUUCGAAGCUGAAACUUAGACGCAGCUUCGUAAGUGAGUGCUUGUGGUAUUGUUCUCUAAUUGGCAUUAAUGUUUAUGUAGUUUCAUGUCAAUAAUAAUCUGCAUAAUAAAGGUUUUCAUUAAAUGUAAAUGCAGAUUAGUCAGCUGGUUAAAUUCUUAUUAUGUCGUCGAAGUUUUAUUGUUGUAUAUGAAACAAAUUAAAAUUAAAUCUUGGGCAUGAUUUUGGUUAGAACAGGUUGUAUCUUUUCAUUUUAGUGCAUGAAUAAAAUUGAGAAGAUAUUGUAAAUAAAAAAAGAUGUAAUAUUUUUCGUAGUUUUUUUAUAAAAAAAAUUGAGUAAUGAUAUUGGAACACUAUUAUUUUGAAUAUUUAUCAACACUUGUCAUUUUUUUUAUCUUUUUCUUUCUACCACGUCAAAUCACUAAUGCGUAUAAUAUGAAUGGACAAAAACAAAUAUAUCUUACAUAAUAUAGUAUCGAAGAUUAAGAGUCCGGAUAUCGAAUGCACGUGACAAAUUGUGUUCUUAAAAUAAUAUAUUUUAUUUUGCAACUAAGUAAUUGAGGAAAGAAAUUAAAUUAAGAUGGAUUGAUGGUCAAUUAUCUAAUGCAAGAUCAAAUCUAAACGAGUAAGAUAGUAUCGAGUAAGAUAGUAUGAAAGAGAAGAUGAUUUCAGGCAUACCAAUUCCACCAAUACUAAUUCUAACAAGAUUCUUACGAUUGUUAAUUGUCGAUUUUCUAAAGUCAAUUAUUAGUCAUUGAUUGUAGUCUAAUAAUGGUCAAUUAUUAGUCAUUGAUUGUGGUCAAUUAUUAAUCAAUUUCCUAAUUAACCUACUAGAGGUUAUCCAACCAGUUUGGCAUGCAGUUUGAUAUAAAACACUUUUUUUCCUAAUUCUACCAAUUACAUGUAAAUGAUUACUGUUAAGCAAUCAAUUAUGUAUUAGUACAUCCGUUUCCACCAACCAAUUUGGUCAUGUAGUUUGGUAUAAAACACUUUCUUCCUAAUUCUACCAUUAAAUGCAAAUGAUUACUAUUAUGCAAUCAAUUAUGUAUUAGAACAUCCAUUUCCAAAAUAGAAAUUAAAAGUAAAGAAGAUAAUCAAUUAACUAAAUGACAUCGAGAAUUUCAUUAAAAUUAAGAAAGGAGUUCAAACUAGGUUACAUCAUAAUAAUCGAACUAGGAAGACUAGUCGCUCAUUGUACACACUAUUACAAAAAAAACUUUUUUAACGUGUCUUACUUGGCAUCUUGCUUGCAUGAGUAAGUACAAGUGUACAAUCUGUUUUAAAUUAUGUGUGUAUUGGUUUGUUCUAAUGGAUUGGUUUGUUCGAGAAAUAGAUCAAAACAACUAGAAAGAUCAUGCAUCAAAGACAGAAAAUGGUGGUGAGUCUAGGAGGAUUUCUAGGUCUUUUAUACAAUGAUGUCAAUGUGACAUGUGAGCAUUUUCAUGGGAGAAAGAUAGAGAGAAAAAGAGAGAGGUAGGGGUGACAUGGAUGAAGUUACCAUUACCAAACAAUUUAAUAUCAUUUUAUUCCUCAAAUUAGUCACUUUAGUUCUUGAAAAAAAAAGUGUUAUGGUUACUAUAAAUUAUAAAAAAACACCCCUAAAAUCUUCAUUUUUGACUCUUAUUAUGUAGAUAAUGAACAACAUCUUAUUUUACUAACAAAGUUUGUAGAUGGCUAACAGUAGGGAUUAACUUGGAUAACAUAAUUCAAUGUCAAAGAUUUAUUUUUCAUGUAUCUAAUUUUAGGAACUAAUAUUUUUUUAUUGGUAAGAAUUGAGCAUGGUAUUAAAGAAUUUACAAUACUCACACAUCUUACUCAACCAAUUAAGUUAGACCCCUUAAUAUUUUAGGAACUAUACCCCCACAAUUUUAGAGACUAAAAUGAUGAUUUGAUCCUUUUUAUUUUUUGUCGAAGAUGAAGAAAAAAGGAAGAAAAAAAGAUUCAGAUUUUUUUUUAAAUAUCUUUAUAUCUAUUCAUAACUUUUAAUCUUAAAUAAGAAUAUGAUGCGUUCUUUGUUAGUAAGAAGCAACAAAGGAAUAAGAAUAACAAAAAAGCACAUGAUAGGAAAUGAGAGCAAGCUCUCCAAGUCAGAGAAUAUCCUCUAGACUCCAAAUUUCAUUCAAAUCCCUCGUACCCCUUACAAUGACCGCCUUCCUUACAUAUAACUGAAUUCCCCUCUCCAUUGAUUUUCUCCUCUAACAAACUUAUUCCCCCUCUCACAAAAGUCUACUGCUAAAUAGACAAAUUUUCCCUCUUGGGCCUGAUGGCAUAUACUUUAUCAAAUCUACUCUUGGACUUAAGUAUUUUGAGUUGCAAAAUAAUUUUAUAGGAUUUAAGUAUUUUGAGUUGUAAAAUAAUUUUAUAUUUUAUGAAUACUGUGACUUAUUAAAUAAGUUAUGAGAUUAUAUUUUAUUAUGAAUGAGUUACUUAAAUUGCUUAAAGGUUUAUGACUUAUCUUUUUUUGUUUAUCCGAUAAUACAAUUUUUAAGUUUGAGGAUUUUAUUUUAUGGGAUUAUAUUUUAUUGUGAGUAUAUGUAUAAUAUUGAUUUUAAAAAAAUGUCCCUUACUAAUUUUUAAGUUUGAGGAUUUUUUUUUCAAAACUUAAAGAUGUGUUAAUUUUUUAAGGGUCCAAUUCUAUAACCAACCCAAUCCAAUCUUAUAUAUAAAAGUUAGAUUAGAUUAGAUUGAGUUGUAAAAAAAAAAGGUAAGCUCAAUCUAACCCAACCCAAUUAAAUUUAAUUAGAUUAGGUUGAAAAGGAAAUAAAACUUAACUCAAUCCAGCUCCUAAUCUAAAAUAUACAUACUAUGCCAACCUUCUUGGUAUUGGAUAGAAAUUUCACUAUUAAUUAAUAAUGUUGUAUUGUCUGCCAUAUUUUAGGUUCUAUAUUUGGUUUAAAGGUGGGAGGAAAAUAAUUUUAAUGAAAGAGGGAGAAGAAAAGAGAGGUGAUUACACAUUUUGUUUGGUUUAGAGAAAAAUAGAGAUUUUAAUAGAAUGAGAGAAAAUAAUCAUUUUCUUGUUUGGUUCAUAACUAGAGAAGGAAUUUUGAAAAUUAAUUUCCUUGCAUGUUUAUAUAAUUUUAUUUUCCAAAACAUAAGUAGAGAUAUUUUAGUUAAUACUCAUCAAAUAUGUUUUAAAUGUUUUUAUUUUUUUCUCCCAAAAAUUAAACCAUUAUAAAAUUUUAUAAAAAUAUAUCCCUACAUCCCUCUUCCACCAUUUUCUUUUAACCAAACACUAUAUAUGUUAGAGUGAAUUAAUUAGAAAGAGAAAAAAAAAACAAAAAGAAAGAAAGUAAUAAAUAUGAUAUAUAAUGUGACUAACAAGUUGAUCCGGUCAAGGUAAAAACAACUCAAAUUUAUUAAUAUAUUUUAAAAUAAUCUCAUUUUGGUAAUUAGUUUAUAAUUUCCCUUCUCAUCUUUCUCUCUUUUUUUUCCUACUUUGAAAGUAAUAAAUGUAAUACAAAUUAAAUAAACACAUUCUAUUUGGAUAAUUAAAAAAAGUACAUAUCUAAAAUAUACUAUGCCAACCUUCAUGGUAACCUAUAAAAAGUGUUUGGAUAAGAUUAUUUUUCCAAAAUCAAAUUCAGUUUCAGUCAAAACAAAAAAUAAUUAUUUCUACUUUUUCAUCAUAAUUUUGAGAACUUAAAUUGAUUCCAGUAGUUAUCCAAACACACCAAUAUAGGGUGGAUUCAAAAUGAAAGAAUAGAAGAAAAUAAAAGAUAGAAAAAGAAUAGUGUAAAUAUGAUAAAUGAUGUAACUAGUGAAUUGAUCCGGUCAAUGGUAAAAAGCAUCUAAAUCUCAUAAUAUAUCACAUUUUAGUCAUUAGUUUCUUAGAGUGUCCUGUUUUGGUGAACCAUUCCUUAGUAAAAUUACUCUUACCUUAAAGGACUUGCAUGUGUGUGUGUAUAUAUAUAUAUAUAUAUAUAUAUAUUAACUUUUGCAAAACUUUUGAGUGUAAGAGGAUUGUUCAUUCAUUUAUUACUCUAGGUGAAACCUUAUUUGAGUGUCGAAGUGCAUUUUGCACCCAUCCUUCAAAAGAAGAACCCGCUAAGCACACUAAAGCGAGAUACAUCAAAGUGAAAGAUAUAGCAAGGAGAAAGGCAUCUGGGCACUUCAAGCAUGAACAUCAGGUAUGAAAAAAUUUUCUCUCCUACCAAACAUCCUAUAGUUAAUGGAUAUUCUCUCCUCCCUAAUCCCCUUUCUACAUUAUCUUCUCAUUCAUUUCCUUCUUUUGCUAAUUUUCUUCCUACUAAAUGCUACCUUUUAAUUACUUUUCAAAUUUAUCCGAUGAAUUAAGAUAAACAUAUUUUUUAAAUUGAAUAACAAUUGUAAUAUUUGUGUGUGAAAACAAUUGUAAUUUUUUUAUUAUUCCAGUUAUGGGAGCCAAUUGUUAAACCACUAUUUAAUAUUCAUGAGGAUAAAAAUAUCAAACAAUUAAUGAUUUGUUUCAAGUGGCCUUAAACCGACAGUAUGCCAGAGGACUUGUUUUCUUGAGUAUAGGUUCAUGGACAUUUAAUUAUGGUGAUGAUGAUACACUCGAUUUUUCACUAUUUAAAACUGUAAGUUGAUCUAUCCACUUGAUGAUAACGAAACCUUUAAACUAUGUAUUCUUAAUUGAAAAUAAUAAAGUCUUCAUCAUUGCCAGCGGAUGCACAAGCUACACAUAAAAAUUAGGCUUAAUAUAUUUUAACUUUUUAAUUUCUAAUUUGAUGUAUUUUAUCUUUAACUUUUAAAAAAAAUUCUGAAUUUUACUUUAUAAAUUACUGGUCAGUAAAAUACAACGAAGGCCUUAGAUCCAUGUUGAAAGAAUGGCAAUCGGAGAGUGGAGGCAUAAUCUACUACUCCUACUUUGACACUUUUGCCUGCCAUCAACGACCUUAUUCAGACUCCAGCUUCUUAUGGUACCAUUUUAUACGUACAAUAACAUAUCCAAAUAUUAUUUUCUUUCUUAAUUCUUUUCAUUUCUUUAUUAAAAUUAAGAAACUUUCCUUUCUCUUUUAUUUUUUAUUCUAAUUCAAAUAACUUUAAAAUUUAUUAUCUUUCUUCUCUUUUAUUUCUUUCCUCUACCAAAAGAUGUUUAUUAGUUUUGUUUUGAGUAAAUGACCAUUUUAUUUUCUAAAUUUGUAUUUUGUUAUGGUUUUAGUACUUAAAAUCAAGAAAAAUUCAAAUAAGUUCACGAACAUUUUUAGUGUUUCACUUAAAUCUCUGAAAGUAACUUUUUUUCUUUUUCUUAUUUUGGUUCCUAAACUCAUGUUGUUAUUAUUACCUAAGUCCUCGUACUAGGGGUCAAAAUGAAAAAAGAAAAGAUGUUAGGUUAAGAGACUUAUUUGGUGAGAUACAAAUUUAGGAAAUGAAUUGGCUAUUUACUCUUUUGUUUUUAUAAAGUUGAUUUCUAAUUAAAAUAAGUUUAAAUCACUUUUCAGGAUUUAGUGAGCCAGAGCUCCCAGCCUGCCAUUGUCAAACCUUUGUCCUAACAGAGACAAGAUCACAUCUUCUUUGACCAAUUCCAUCCUACGGAGGCGUUGCUCGUUUGUUUGUUAUUUGUUAAUAAACUUUUUUAUGGCCCUUCAAGUUACACAUUGUAGAAAAUAAUAUUAUAAAAUGUAACAAUUUUAUUAUAUAUAACCCAUUGAUGGCCCUUCAUAUUUAUCCAAUAGCUUAUCUCUAACUUUGAACAUUAACAUUGCAAUCGCGCUUCUGUUUUUAUUUUUUUUAAUUUUGAAAUUUGUAAAAAAAUCUUUCAUUCUCUUUUCACUGCUAAUUUUCUUCCUACUAAAUGCUACCUUUUAAUUACUUUUCAAAUUUAUCCAACGAAUUAAGAUAAACAUAUUUUUUAAAUUGAAUAACUAUUGUAAUUUUUGUUGUUGUUGAAAACAAUUAUUGUUUUUUAUUACUCCAGUUAUGGGAGCCAAUUUUAAACCACUAUUUAAUAUUCAUGAGGAUAAAAGUAUCAAUCUACAAUUAAUGAUUUGUUUCAAGUGGCCUUAAUCCGACAGUAUUUGGAGGACUUGUUUUUUUUAGUAUAGGUUCAUGGACAUUUAAUUAUGGUGAUGAUGAUAGUACCAUGAUAUACUCGAUCGUUUACUAUUUAAAACAGUAAGUUGAUCUAGUCUCUACUUGAUGAUAACAAAACCUUUUAACAAUGUAUUCUUAAUUGAAAAUAAUAAAGUCCUCAUCAUUGCCAGCUGAUGCAUAAGCUAUCCAUAAAAAUUAGGUUUAAUUGUAUAAUUUUUUUAAUUUUUGAUGAAUUUUAUUUUUAACUUUUUAAUUUGACAUAUUUUACCUCUAAUUUUUAAGAAGCUUGUGAAAUUUAUCCUUCCCAUUUAUCUAUUAAAAAGCAUAAUAAUUGAUGGUAAAAUUUGUCAAAAAAAUAAAUAGUUCAAGAGUAAAAUUCGUAAAGAAUAAUAAGUCAGGGAUAAAAAGUACAAUUAUAUUAAUAGUUAAAUGAUGGGAGUAAAAUUCACAAGAUUCUUAAAAUUUGGGAUAAAGUAUAUCAAAUUAAAAAAAUUAAGGUAAAAUUCACCAAAAAUUUAAGAAAUUAAGGAUAAAAAAUACAAUUACGCCUAAAAAUUAUCAUUUUGUCUACCCCAAUGUUUUUUUUAUUUCAGCUUAAUUUAAGAAAUUAAGGAUAAAAAAUACAAUUACGCUUCAAAGAUAUUUACAAUCUUUCUAGUUAACGUUUUACAAAGAGUACUGUGUUUAAUUCAUGGUGGGAAUAAUGAAAAUUGAUUUUGAUUUGAUUUAAACACGAUUUUAUCAAAAUAUAAAUGCUUGGUUAUUGUUAGCUAAAGUUAUUUUGCUUUAUAAGAAGUGAUAAAAAGUAACUUUUAUGUUGAGUUAAAGAAGCAAUCUCGCUUUCAAGAUAAAAGCAUACAAACCCUUGUCGAUUUAAAAUAAAAUUUAAUAUUAUUUUCUUAUUUAUUUUGGUCAAAUAAUUUUUAAAAUUUAUUUAUCUGUUCCACAAUUAGCCUAUGAAACCGUUUUGUCUACGCAUAAUUAGACUUCUAAUAAACCCAAACAUAUUUUCAAAGACCAAAUCUGUAAAAGUAAGAAAAAAAUCAAUUAUUUCCUUAGAUAAAAAUUGAGAACAACUUGGCUAGUUUAAUCAAAUUUCAUUUCCCCACAUUUUGACAAAGUCAUAAGCUAGCUAGCUAAACGAACUACGACUUUUCUCACUGUGUACGUUUUCCAUGCCAAGUCUUCGGAAUCUUGGGCUCUGCAAGUUGAUGGUCAACUAGGCAGUUUUGCCAUUGGGUAAGUGGACCUAUUUAUAAAGGAUGGUCAAUUGAGCAAUUAAUUGAUUAACAUAUGUACCUAACAUAUGUCUAAGAUGCUUAUGUCUUUAACCAAGUACUAGUAGUUUAGAAUUUAAAUUUUAAUUAAUUAUUAGGUAUAAAAUAAAUUAUAUUAAAAAAAAACCUAUUUUACAUGUGUUCAAGAUUUCUAACGAAAAUUUAUUUUUAUUUUCAAUGAAAACAAUUUUAUAAUUAUAAAAAAUAAAACAUACGUGACCAAACACACAAUGUGUGUACAUAACAUAUGCUCUAUAAAUUAGCCUUUACUCCAAAAGACUAUCUCAUACCACAACACAUGUUUCCAAUGGCAAAUAAGUUCUCAGUUAUCAGCCCUUCCUAUUGUGUUCCUAACUCUCUUAACCUACAAAUUAACACAGAGAAAGGUGUUACUUACAACGUAAAGGGUAACCGUGUAUUUUACAUAAAAGAUACUUUGUUCACAUUUCACGGUCGUCGCGUGUUAUGUGAUGAUAAAGGAAGUCCCAUCGUCACUCUAUACAAGAAGGUUUGUUACUGAUCGAGGAGGCAUCUUAUACUCAUUUUUUUUUGAAUUUUUUUUCUAUUAAUUAAAUUAACUAAAUUGGUAUUAUAUAUUCUUAAUUUUUGUUUUUUAUCAGCAAAUAUUAAUUAUUAAUUUUAUUAGUUUUUUUUAGUAAAAAAAAAAUUGAAUCUAUAACCUCUCUUUUUCCUUCUUCCUUUAUCUAUCAAAUCAAUCUUAUAAUUAUUUGGUAUUCUUAAUUUUUGUUUAUAUGUAGAAUGUGACAUUGCACGGGCAAUGCAAAGUUUUCAGGGGUAAUAGCAAUGGUCCCUCUGAGUUGCUCUUUUCGGUGAAGAGAUCGUCAAUAAUCCCGAGUGGGAAGAUGAUUAGAUUAGAUGUCUUCCUUGAAAACAAGAGAAAAGGAAGCAUGUGUGAUUUUAGAGUCAUCGUUCGUGGAAGUAAAAAUUCAUGCACUAUUUAUGCCGGUGAAUCUCCAACUAUUGUUGCCAAGGUGUGUAUUGCAUGUGUUCUGGGCAUGUUUUUAUAUACACAUUAGUUUAAUUACCUAUCUAUUAUGGGUUUGGAUAAUUGCUGAUAUAAAGUGAUGUGUAAUUUAUAUUUAAAUAUUUUUAUGAUAAAAUUAAGUUAAGAGUAAAAUUUAGUAUAAUUUUUUAUUCUAGUUAGAAUUGCUUAACUCAGAAUCAAUUUUAGAUCCAAAAUCGAUUAUGAAUCUUUUUUAACAUAAAAUCAAACAUAUAAUUUUUGUUCUAAAAUCAAUUAUGAACUUGAAAAUAAUUUUUUUUUUUUGCUUUUAACUCAUAAUCAAUUCUAACCUGAAACAAAGCACACAUACUUUUUUCUUGAUAAUUAUCGGAAACCUUGAGCACACACAAAAUGAACAUUUCCCCUUUUAAUACGAUUUAUAACCUAAGGACAAAUUAUAAUUCGAACCCUAAACCACUUUUAUUGUGCCAAACUCUUAUUGAUCCAAACAAAUAAUUAAUACAACUGAAUGGAUAUAAUGACUACAUUUUAUCGCCCUCUUUCAUGUAGAUGGAGAAUAAUGGAGGCUUCAAAGUCUUGGUCUAUCCCAACGUGGACUACGCAUUCAUAGUGACACUACUUAUGAUUAUUGAUGACAUCAAAGAUUAUGAUGUGUUGGUAAAUGCGACGGUGAGUGGUGUCCUAACUGUGGCGACGGGGGGUAUCUUACCUAUUCUGACAUUGUUUGAGGGAGAAAAUUUAGAAGAAGAAACCUUAGAUGGAGAAAACUUAGAAGACGAAUACUUACAAGAAGGAGAAAACAACUCAGGUGGAGAAAACUUAGAUGGAGAAAACAACCCAGAAGGAGAAAAUUUAGAUGGAGAAAACUUAGAAGUAGAAAACAACUUCGAAGCUGAAACUUAGACGCAGCUUCGUAAGUGAGUGCUUGUGGUAUUGUUCUCUAAUUGGCAUUAAUGUUUAUGUAGUUUCAUGUCAAUAAUAAUCUGCAUAAUAAAGGUUUUCAUUAAAUGUCAAUGCAGAUUAGCCAGCUGGUUAAAUUCUUAUUAUGUCGUCGAAGUUUUAUUGUUGUAUAUGAAACAAAUUAAAAUUAAAUCUUGGGCACGAUUUUGGUUAGAACAGGUUGUAUCUUUUCAUUUUAGUGCAUGAAUAAAAUUGAGAAGAUAUUGUAAAUAAAAAAAGAUGUAAUAUUUUUCGUAGUUUUUUUAUAAAAAAAAUUGAGUAAUGAUAUUGGAACACUAUUAUUUUGAAUAUUUAUCAACACUUGUCAUUUUUUUUAUCUUUUUCUUUCUACCACGUCAAAUCACUAAUGCGUAUAAUAUGAAUGGACAAAAACAAAUAUAUCUUACAUAAUAUAGUAUCGAAGAUUAAGUGUCCGGAUAUCGAAUGCACGUGACUAAUUGUGUUCUUAAAAUAAUAUAUUUUAUUUUGCAACUAAGUAAUUGAGGAAAGAAAUUAAAUUAAGAUGGAUUGAUGAUCAAUUAUCUAAUGCAAGAUCAAAUCUAAACGAGUAAGAUAGUAUCGAGUAAGAUAGUAUGAAAGAGAAGAUGAUUUCAGGCAUACCAAUUCCACCAAUCCUAAUUCUAACAAGAUUCUUAGGAUUGUUAAUUGUCGAUUUUCUAAAGUCAAUUAUUAGUCAUUGAUUGUGGUCAAUUAUUAAUCAAUUUCCUAAUUAACCUACUAGAGGUUAUCCAACCAGUUUGGCAUGCAGUUUGAUAUAAAACACUUUUUUCCUAAUUCUACCAAUUACAUGUAAAUGAUCACUGUUAAGCAAUCAUUUAUGUAUUAGUAAGUCCAUUUCCACCAACCAAUUUGGUCAUGUAGUUUGGUAUAAAACACUUUCUUCCUAAUUCUACCAUUAAAUGCAAAUGAUUACUAUUAUGCAAUCAAUUAUGUAUUAGAACAUCCAUUUCCAAAAUAGAAAUUAAAAGUAAAGAAGAUAAUCAAUUAACUAAAUGACAUCGAGAAUUUCAUUAAAAUUAAGAAAGGAGUUCAAACUAGGUUACAUCAUAAUAAUCGAACUAGGGAGACUAGUUGCUCAUUGUACACACUAUUACAAAAAAAAAAAUUUUAACGUGUCUUACUUGGCACCUUGCUUGCAUGAGUAAGUACAAGUGUACAAUCUGUUUUAAAUUAUGUGUGUAUUGGUUUGUUCUAAUGGAUUGGUUUGUUUGAGAAAUAGAUCAAAACAACUAGAAAGAUCAUGCAUCAAAGAUAGAAAAUGGUGGUGAGUCUAGGAGGAUUUCUAGGUCUUUUAUACAAUGAUGUCAAUGUGACAUGUGAGCAUUUUCAUGGGAGAAAGAUAGAGAGAAAAAGAGAGAGGUAGGGGUGACAUGGAUGAAGUUACCAUUACCAAACAAUUUAAUAUCAUUUUAUUCCUCAAAUUAGUCACUUUAGUUCUUGAAAAAAAAAAGUGUUAUGGUUACUAUAAAUUAUAAAAAAACACCCCUAAAAUCUUCAUUUUUGACUCUUAUUAUGUAGAUAAUGAACAUCAUCUUAUUUUACUAACGAAGUUUGUAGAUGGCUAAAAGUAGGGAUUAACUUGGAUAACAUAAUUCAAUGUCAAAGAUUUAUUUUUCAUGUAUCUAAUUUUAGGAACUAAUAUUUUUUUAUUGGUAAGAAUUGAGCAUGGUAUUAAAAAAUUUACAAUACUCACACAUCUUACUCAACCAAUUAAGUUAGACCCCUUAAUAUUUUAGGAACUAUACCCCCACAAUUUUAGAGACUAAAAUGAUGAUUUGAUCCUUUUUAUUUUUUGUCGAAGAUGAAGAAAAAAGGAAGAAAAAAAGAUUUAGAUUUUUUAAAAAAUAUCUUUAUAUCUAUUCAUAACUUUUAAUCUUAAAUAAGAAUAUGAUGCGUUCUUUGUUAGUAAGAAGCAACAAAGGAAUAAGAAUAACAAAAAAGCACAUGAUAGGAAAUGAGAGCAACCAAGUCAGAGAAUAUCCUCUAGACUCCAAAUUUCAUUCAAAUCCCUCGUACCCCUUACAAUGACCGCCUUCCUUACAUAUAACUGAAUUCCCCUCUCCAUUGAUUUUCUCCUCUAACAAACUUAUUCCCCCUCUCACAAAAGGCUACUGCUAAAUAGACAAAUUUGCCCUCUUGGGCCUGAUGGCAUAUACUUGAUCAAAUCUACUCUUGGACUUUAAGUAUUUUGAGUUGCAAAAUAAUUUUAUAGGAUUUAAGUAUUUUGAGUUGUAAAAUAAUUUUAUAUUUUAUGAAUACUGUGAGUUAUUAAAUAAGUUAUGAGAUUAUAUUUUAUUAUGAAUGAGUUACUUAGGGGGUGUUUGGUUUGGUUAUUUUCUGUUUUCAUUUUCACCGAAAACAGAAAACGGUGAUGAAAAUGUGUUUGGUUGGAUUUCUGAAAACAUUUUCAGUGAAAAUGAAAACAGGAAACAGCCAGAAAAUGAAAACAAUAAAUUUUCGUUUUCAGUGUUUUCAGUUGAGAACAGAAACCUCAUUUCAGGUAAAAUAAAAUUGUGAUGACAAUGAAUGUAUUUUUAAACAAAUCUAAAAAUACAAAAAGACAAAAAGUCAAUAUAUCAUAAAUUUUCAGUAUUUUUAUUUCAUGAAAACAGAAAAUAAGAAGUCAAACCAAACAUAUUUUCAGAAUUCUAAUCUUUUGAAAAUGAAAACAAUUUUCAGAAAAUGAAAACAGAAAAUGAAAAUGCAAACCAAACACACCCUUAAAUUGCUUAAAGGUUUAUGACUUAUCUUUUUUUGUUUAUCCGAUAAUACAAUUUUUAAGUUUGAGGAUUUUAUUUUAUGGGAUUAUAUUUUAUUGUGAGUAUAUGUAUAAUAUUGAUUUUAAAAAAAUGUCCCUUACUAAUUUUUAAGUUUGAGGAUUUUUUUUUCAAAACUUAAAGAUGUGUUAAUUUUUUAACGGUCCAAUUCUAUAACCAACCCAAUCCAAUCUUAUAUAUAAAAGUUAGAUUAGAUUAGAUUGAGUUGUAAAAAAAAGGUAAGCUCAAUCUAACCCAAUCCAAUUAAAUUUAAUUAGAUUAGGUUGAAAAGGAAAUAAAACUUAACUCAAUCCAGCUCCUAAUCUAAAAUAUACAUACUAUGCCAACCUUCUUGGUAUUGGAUAGAAAUUUCACUAUUAAUUAAUAAUGUUGUAUUGUCUGCCAUAUUUUAGGUUCUAUAUUUGGUUUAAAGGUGGGAGGAAAAUAAUUUUAAUGAAAGAGGGAGAAGAAAAGAGAGGUGAUUACACGUUUUGUUUGGUUUAGAGAAGAAGAGAGAUUUUAAUAGAAUGAGAGAAAAUAAUCAUUUUCUUGUUUGGUUCAUAACUAGAGAAGGAAUUUUGAAAAUUAAUUUCCUUGCAUGUUUAUAUAAUUUUAUUUUCCAAAACAUAAGUAGAGAUAUUUUAGUUAAUACUCAUCAAAUAUGUUUUAAAUGUUUUUAUUUUUUUUCUCCCAAAAAUUAAACCAAAUUAUAAAAUUUUAUAAAAAUAUAUCCCUACAUCCCUCUUCCACCAUUUUCUUUUAACCAAACACUAUAUAUGUUAGAGUGAAUUAAUUAGAAAGAGAAAAAAAAAAACAAAAAGAAAGAAAGUAAUAAAUAUGAUAUAUAAUGUGACUAACAAGUUGAUCCGGUCAACGGUAAAAACAACUCAAAUUUAUUAAUAUAUUUUAAAAUAAUCUCAUUUUGGUAAUUAGUUUAUAAUUUCCCUUCUCAUCUUUCUCUCUUUUUUUUCCUACUUUGAAAGUAAUAAAUGUAAUACACAUUAAAUAAACACAUUCUAUUUGGAUAAUUAAAAAAAGUACAUAUCUAAAAUAUACUAUGCCAACCUUCAUGGUUUGGAUAAGAUUAUUUUUCCAAAAUCAAAUUCAGUUUCAGUCAAAACAAAAAAUAAUUAUUUCUACUUUUUCAUCAUAAUUUUGAGAACUUAAAUUGAUUCCAGUAGUUAUCCAAACACACCAAUAUAGGGUGGAUUCAAAAUGAAAGAAUAGAAGAAAAUAAAAGAUAGAAAAAGAAUAGUGUAAAUAUGAUAAAUGAUGUAACUAGUGAAUUGAUCAGGUCAAUGGUAAAAAGCAUCUAAAUCUCAUAAUAUAUCACAUUUUAGUCAUUAGUUUCUUAGAGUGUCCUGUUUUGGUGAACCAUUCCUUAGUAAAAUUACUCUUACCUUAAAGGACUUGCAUGUGUGUGUGUAUAUAUAUAUAUAUAUAUAUUAACUUUUGCAAAACUUUUGUUUGCGGCUAGUAAGAUCAGAGCCCUAUAAAAAUGUAGCCAAUAACCCAUAUUCCCACAUAUGUUCUAAAUCCACUAUUCAUCCAAAUGAAGAAUAUGUUUCUCAUCCUUUUCUUUUCUGCUCUUCUAAUUUCAUCCACUUCUAAUGCUUCUAACGUCAAUGAUUUCUGCGUAGCAGACCUCAAGGGUACAAAUAGCCCUUCUGGCUCUAACUGCAAGCCCGCUGAUACAGUAACAGCAAAUGACUUUGUCUUCACUUUUCAACCUGCAAACACAUCUAACCCUAUCAAAACUGGAAUCAGCACUGCAUUUCUUAAAGACUUUCCUGCUCUCAAUGGUCUUGACAUCUCUGCAGUACGUGUAGUUAUCGAUAAAGAUGGAUUUAUUCCAUUGCAUUCACAUCCUCAUGCCACUGAACUAAUAAUCGUGGUGGAAGGUCAAAUCACUGCUGGAUUCAUGGCAGCUACCAAAGCUUAUGUGACCAAGACACUGAAACCGGGAGAUCUUAUGGUUAUCCCACCAGGACAAUUGCAUUUUCUAGCAAAUUAUGAUCAAAGAAGAGCCACUGUUUUUGCUGCUUUUAGUAGCUCAAACCCUACUGUCCAUUCUUUUAAUAAUAUAUUUGCCAACAAUGUACCCUCUAAUGUACUUGCCCAAACUACCUUCCUUGAUGUUGCCCAAGUGAAGAAGCUUAAGGCUCGUUUCGGUGGCAGAAACUAGGAUAUUAUUGCUUGCUUAUUGAUUAAUUAGUUAGUUAAUGUGUUUGUUCCAAUGAUCAUAAACAAUAAACACUGAUUAUAUUCUUUUGUGUCUGAUAAGAUUAUAUAUACUCUUUCGAUCCCUUCAUCACUUAUAUACUAGAUUUUGAGUUCUCCCUUGAUUUUGUGCAUGUUCAGCUUUCAGGUGAUGCUUCAUGAACUUUGUAAUCUCGAUUAGUUGUUCUGGCUUUUAGCUGCCUUUAUGACAACAACAACAAAAAUGUUUAUGUAGACUUAAACUUGUGUUUGGAACGAGACCAAGUUGAUUUUCUUUAUGCCGAAAAGUUUUUGACGAGUGUACUACACAAGAUAAAGAUAAAAAAAUUAAAAUGGAGAAUUUUUUUUAAGAGUCGGUCUAUUCUAAUCCACAAUAUGAUAUCUGGAUGAUUUUCUUAAUUACAAAUAAUUAGGUAUGUUGAUAAACUACUCAAUAAACACCUUAGAAGAAUAAAAUAGAAUAACAAAUAAAAUAAAUAUUCAGUUAACUGCAAAACUCUUUGUUCUCCCUACAAGAAUGUUCAGUUGCCAUUCUUGUCAUCGACGAUGACAACCUCCGCAAGUAGGUCUUCGAUUCAACCCGCACAGUUCAGAGUCGUACAUGUAGAAGGUGCAUUAAAAUGUGGCAACUUGGACGGGGAACUUCUAUAUAAAAAAAAAAGGCUUGGACGGAGAGACGAGAAAAUGUUAGCGGUAGUUGGAGAGAGAAAGACAACAUUUUUGUGAAGAAAAAAUUGUGUCUUUUUCUUCUAUUACUGGGUUUUUUUUUUUUGCUGUGAAAGAACAAUCAAAGUAUUCAUUUGUCAACACUUCAGCACAUGUGUGUGAUUUGUCAUAUCAUGAUCACUUCAAUGUAUUUUAUUAAAUAAUAAAGACAAUUAGAUAAACAAACUCUUUAGUAUCUGAAAAUACUCAUUUAAUUGAUCCCAACACCCCAAUUAUUUGAUGAUAUUUAUGGUCAUAUAUCGAUUAUAUUUGCCCUUUUCGGCUUGAACUGGUUGAGAAUAUUUGAAUUUGAAUCCGUCCAUAACCAAUUACCCAUAAGCCUAAUUUACUUAUUCUGUAUGUAUGAAAAACAUGACCAUUAUCAACCAGACGAAGCUUACAAAUUUUUACCCCUUCAUGACACUGCGGUGUGUCAAAAGGAUUUGUAUUUGGACAAGAAAAUGGUACAAUAAUUUCCACACUAAAGGAAGAGAAGUGAAGGUAUUAAAAAAAAAGUAUGAGGUAAAAUAUCAAUAUGUUGAAAAGACAGAAAAACACAUAAUAUUAUAAAAUAUAAAAUUAAAUAUGUUCUUGGUAUUUACUAAUGUUUGUUUUUGUUCCUUAAAAAAUAUUUAUCAUUCAUGAAAAUGUGUUGCUCGCAAUUCUUAUAUAUUUUUCAUAUAUGAGUAUUUAUUUGUUAAAAACACAUUUCUAGAGCAAAUAAACAAACAAAAAAUGGCAUUUUACAUAUACUAAAAGUAAAUGUUCUGUUUACAUAAUCAUAGAUAUCUUCCUAAUAUGAAUACUUCUAUCACCUUAUGACCUUAAAAUUAUAAAUAAAAAAAAUAUUGUAUGAGUAAUUGUUGUAAUUUGUUCUAACAGUAAUGUAGUACUAUCAGUUAAGCUUAAUUUCAACACUCUACCCGACACAUGUUUAAUUUUACCUUUCUGUUUUGUUUUGUUUCCACUUAUUAGUGUAUGUAUUUAUUGUUACUACUAGUAGCCAAAUUCUCCGAAACAGGGCCAAACAAUGUGAGCAGAGAAACAUUACUACAGUAAUCUUUAUAGUUAGCAAACAUAUUCAUAACAAAUUACAUCUAAAAAAGAAUUAUUCCUUAGCGAAGUUUCUUUUAACUUGAUAGUUAGCAAACAUAUUUAUAGCUAAUGUAUCAAAAAUUCUUGUCCAUUCCUCGGUAGCUUGAAUAGUUGUGAUAUCAUCUAUGUCAAAUACUAAAUUUUCUACUGCACCCAUUCCCUUCCGUGUUAAUUCCUAUGGUUUUUAUGUACAAUAAUAUGUUACUUUUGCCUUUGUACAUUACAGAAUAAGCAAAACAGUGACAGCGUGACUAUUAAUUGCAAGUUGCAAUAUUCUUUUCUAUUUUCCUUUUGUUUUACACAUGAACAAUCCUGCAAAAUAAUAAGGUUAUUGCUGAGAUGACCUAAUCAUGCUCUAUUUUGGAAAUGAUGCGUUCUGGUAUUAAAAUAUGCUUUCUAUGAUUUUUAUUUUAUUUUUUUGUUCCUGGUUGCUUUAACCUAGUGUUUUGCCCCAUAGGUUAUCAUCAAUCACCAGGCUCUUCCUUGCCUUCUAAUCUAUUGACCAAUAAUUAUUAAAAAAGCAUCAAGAAGGAAGCUUGUUGGACCAUAUCAAACAUCACAACCGGUAAUAAACAGCAGAUUCAGGUAUAGUUACUUGUUCAUCAGUCCCUUCCCCUUUUGCAUAAUUGCAUGCACGUACAGAUUAUCAGAUGCAAGCCUGGACUUUUGAGUCUAUAGAUUAUUACAUUUUAACGAUGGAAAAAUGAAUUCAAAAGUCAAACUUAAUCAGAUUUUGCCAAAGGAGAAGAUAGAAGAAAAAUAAUCACGAUAGUAAUCAACCUGAGGUGGAAUGUGGAUUUCAGAAUAUGGAUUUUAUGAUUAUUGUAUCGUUAUGAAUCAUCAAACUAGUAAGGACCAAAAGUGGAAUUGUUGGUUGGUUAAAAGUCUUUAUUGGCAUUACUAUGUUAACACUUGACAUUAUUGGAGAAUAGAGACAAUAUUCUUUAACCAUUAGUAUUAGAGGCAUGAGGUAUUUUAGAUUCUUCAUCUUAAUGCCUAAGAUUAAAAUGGGACCUUGUAUACAAGGUUUGAGCCUGAAGCAUUCAUGUGAUCACUUACUAAUGCAGUUCUAAUUACUGAGAUUUCUCUUGUACUAUUAAAAACUCCUAUUGUGAUUUGUGCUAUAUCUUUGUUUCUUUCUCCUUUAUUCUAGAACUUAAAGUUAAUUAUUUUGCUGGCACAGGCAUUUGGUUGAUUGACACCAUAGAGGUCUUUAUCUGGGAGUUAAUGCAGAAUUCCAGAUCAUGUAUUUGCAUUUUUAAGAGCAAAUGCAUUUUUAUUCUUUCACAACGUAAAAGUAGCUUGUUUUAGGCACGUUUUAGCUCUACCGCACACUGUUUAAUUCCUUGAUCUGCAUGUUACUUGACUUAAAUACAAUUUGAGACUUACGGAUAAUGCAAUGGUACAACCCCUUUAUAUUUUCUGAUGACAUAAAACUGUACAAUUACUUGAAUUACAGUUGCUAAUUUUUCAAUCUUCAAUCAUUAUAGAAGCUUAAGGAACAAUCACAAGCUUCUUCUGUUCCUUUUCACAAACUUCUAAAAGUCAUAUAAACUCUCUCAUUCUUUAUUAUUCUCUAAAACUUCAAGGUUUUAUGGGCUUGGAUCUUUUUUAGAUAUUUUUUUAGAGAAAUUUAUCAGAGGGAACAAAUAACAAAUGCCAUUCAGCCUCCAAUGAAUUAAACACGGUGAAGAAUAAACACAAAGUGAAGAAACUAAAAUUCUAGAAGAAUAAACACAAGCACCAAAUUUGCAAAAAUGCUCACAGUACAAAUUAAUGAAAUCAAACAAUGAAUAUCCACAGUACAAAAUCAAUGAAAUCAAACAUUUAAAUAAAAAAUAAAUCAAAAAUUAACGAAAAAAAAAUGAAUACACUGUGGCACAGCGAGAGUGUGGAUUGAAAUCGCAAGGAAAACUUACUUGUGAGCGAACGUUAUGUGUGGUGCGUGAGAGUGACUGAGAGGGAGAGAGAGCUACGGAGAGAACUAGUGUACUAAGAGGGAGAGAAAGCGCUAGCGUCGUGUGCGUGAAAGUGACUGAAUUUGAUUUUGAAAAAAUAAUCUUAUCCAAACACCUUUUAUACGUUACCAUGAAGGUUGGCAUAGUAUAUUUUAGAUAUGUCCUUUUUUUAAUUAUCCAAAUAGAAUGUGUUUAUUUAAUGUGUAUUACAUUUAUUACUUUCAAAGUAGGAAAAAAAAGAGAGAGAAAGAUGAGAAGGGAAGUUUGAAUAUUUUUAUCCAUUAGAGAAAUGCUUACCCGGAAGAGAAUAUAAAUUUAAAGGUAAGUAAUUGUAUUAAAGGCUGGUUGACCAAAGUAGGGGUACUAUUAUAAACUAAUUAUCAAAAUGAGAUUAUUUUAAAAUAUAUUAAUAAAUUUGAGUUGUUUUUACCGUUGACCGGGUCAACUUAUCAGUCACAUUAUAUAUCAUAUUUAUUACUUUUUUCUUUUUGUUUUUUUUUUCUCUUUCUAAUUAAUUUACUCUAACAUAUAUAGUGUUUGGUUGAAAGAAAAUGGUGGAAGAGGGAUGUAGGGAUAUAUUUUUUUAUAAAAUUUUAUAAUUUGGUUUAAUUUUUGGGAGAAAAAAAACAUUUAAAAUAUAUUUGAUGAGUAUUAACUAAAAUAUCUCUACUUAUGUUUUGGAAAAUAAAAUUAUAUAAACAUGCAAGGAAAUAUCUCUACUUAUGUUUGAUGGUUUGUUCGGUUGAUCUUUACAGUAUUAGAGACGGGUUAUUGAGACGAAAUGUCCUAUGUCUAAUAAAUGUUAACUGAUGAUAUUUAUCUUGAUUACUAGUUUCUAAAAGUGUCCUAAUUAAUUUGAUCAAUCAUUUUUUUUAUAAAAUUACUCUUUUCUCAUUCUUUUCUUUUCCGCUCUUCUUUCAUCCACUUCCUAUGCUUCCAAUGUGAAUGAUUUCUGUGUGGCAGACCUUAAAGGUCCAGAUAGCCUUUCUGGCUAUCCUUGCUUGCCACCUACAACACUUACAGAUGAUAACUUUGUGUUCAAUCUUCAACCUGCAAACACCUCACAGUUCCCUACUAUCAAAGCUGGAAUUAGCACUGCAUUUGUUAAUGAAUUCCCUGCCCUCAAUGGUCUUGACAUCUCUGUAGCGCAUGUAGCUUUCGAAAAAGAUGGGUUUUUUCCAAUGCAUUCUCAUCCUGAUGCCACUGAACUAAUCAUCUUGGUGGAAGGUGAAAUCACUGCUGGAUUCGUCACCGGUAUGAAUUCGAUUGCUUAUCUGAAGACGCUGAAACCCGGAGAUCUUAUGGUUAUUCCACCAGGACAUUUGCAUUUUGUAGCAAAUUCUGGUAAUGAGAAAGCCACUGGUUUUGCCACUUUCAGUAGCUCAAACCCUACUAUCCAUUCAUUCAACAAUAUAUUUGCCAACAAUAUACCUUCUGACAUACUUGCACAAGCUACAUUUCUUGAUGUUGCCCAAGUCAAGAAUCUUAAGGCUCGUUUUGGUGGCAGCAACUAGUAUGAUUAAUUGCUAGCUUAUAAUUAAUUAUGUGCUGGCUCCAAUGGUUUUUCUUUUUUAUAAGAUGUGUUUGCUCCAAUAAUCAUCAACAAUAAAGUUAUUUACUUGUAUGUUUCCCUUUUUCAUUUUUUGUCCAAUCUCAAAUCUUAAUAUACUUGUUGGCUCCCUGACUGCGAACGAAAUAACUACAAGGAAAUAACCCCGGAUAGGUGAAGAAAGAAAGAUCGACAAGCAUUCGAAUUUUUCAUAAUAAAAGCACACUUUAUUUUAAUUUAGUUUUUGUUGAUUUAUUUUACUUGCAUUUUUUUUAUCAAUGGAAAGAAUAAAAAAGAAGUAGGCAGAAGAAAACUAAUGGCAGCGGACAUUGGUCACAACUCACAAGUCUGAAAACUGGGCGAUGAUUGGCCACCUUACUUUGCUAACUAGUCGGCUAUCUUUUUCCUUCACUAAAAGUGUGAGAGAAUUGAAUAUUUCAUUGUUGUUGCUUAAAGGAAUGAAUCUUUGUAAUGAGAGUUGCGUAUAUGGAUGACAUGAAUGUACUCCAAGAUUGAUAAGCUCCAAAGGGACUUUUGAAUCCAUUUCACAUAUAAUAUGAUGCGCACCCAGGGAAUGCCAAGAACCAACGCAAAUAGUUCUGUAUGAAGGGAUGUAAUAACCCCACAUGAUCAAUAGAAACGUGUUACUCAUUCACCAGUUGUGUUCUUCCUAAUUACUCCUCCGACGCCUACUUUGCCCAGAUUCCCAAGAGGAGAACCAUCAGUGUUCAACUUCAAGAAAUUUGGUGGUGGCAGACUCCGUGAGAUAUAGAUAACUGAGUUGUCCCUAUUGUUGGAACACACACUGUUCCUCACUUAAUUGCAAGAGAUGCAAUUCACUCCCUCACACAUUCCCUCGUGUAUCACUCACUGUUUUCUAAGCAUAGAAUUGCACACACACUAGGAAUAGCACUAGAGACUGAAAAUGAUAGAAUGAAAACAACACUUUAUUAAGAUGUAUGAUUGCCCUUUUAUACAAGCAAAACAAAGUAACAACCCUUCACUCUUAGGUUAGCACUUAUAACAGAAUUUUAAAAUUCUGCUACUCUCUCUUAUAUACAAAGCCAAAACAGAAUUAAACUCUCACACCCUCCCUUAAUUCUGAUCUCCUAAGUCCAUCAAGCCAAUUCUGUCCCUUAACAUUUUAAACCUCUCCCCUUUGAGAGGUUUGGUUAAAAUAUCAGCAAGUUGAUCAAAUGUGCAGCAGUACUCCACUUUUAAUUUCUCUUUGUUCACUUGAUCCCUAAGAUAGUGAAAUUAAACCUUGUUUCUAUGUGUUUGCUUCUACCAUGAGAGGUUGGAUUCUUUGAUAGGCUUAUAGCUGACUUAUUAUCCACAAAAAGCUUCACUCCAUCACUCUCCUUGAUUUUUAAUUCCUGUAGUAAUGUGUCCAACCAGACAGCUUGACAAGCACUCAUUGCAACUGCAACAUACUCAGCUUCACAUGUUGAUAGAGCCACUAUGGAUUGCUUCUUAGAACACCUCGAUAUUGGUGCUGCACCAUACAUGAAUAUGUAACCUGUAGUACUCUUUCUGUCAUCUCUGUCUCCUCCCCAAUCUGCAUCAGUAUAUCCCAUCAAUUCCUCUGAGUUGCUAUUGUCUUUAUUUGGAAAUAAAAUUCCAGCAUUGAUGCCCCCUUUUAUGAACCUUAGAAUCCUCUUGGCAGCUAAGAGAUGAGGAAUUCUGGGUCCUUUCGUAUAUCUACUUACCAGUCCAACAGCAAAUUCCAAAUCAGGUCUUGAAUGACACAAGUACAUGAGAGAACCAACAAUCUGUUUGAACUCAAUUGCAUCGACUUUGUCUUCCUUGCCCUCCUUUUCAAGUACAAGACCUGCCUCUGUUGGUGUUGCUGCUGAAUUACAUUCAACCAUGUUGAAUCUCUUCAAUAUUUCUGUUGCAUACUUGCUCUGGAGCAUCAAAAUACCUCUCUCAGUCUUCUUGAAUUCAAGUCCAAGGAAAUAGGAUAGAACCCCCAUAUCAGUCAUUUCAAACUCACUCAUCAAUUCCCUUUUUAGUUCUGCUAUUUCACUUUCAUUACCACCAGUGAUCAACAAAUCAUCCACAUAGAGGCAUAUAAUAAUGAUAUUACCUACUGACUUGGAUCUUACAUAGACUCCAAACUCACAGCUACACUUAUCAAAGCCAAUUUUCAUCAUAAAACUGUCAAUUUUAUUGUUCCAAGCUCUUGGGGCUUGCUUAAGUCCAUAAAGAGCUUUUCUCGACCUGAGAACCUUUGACUCUUGGCCAGCUAUAGAGAAUCCAAGUGGCUGAGUAACAUAGACCUCCUCAUCAAGAGGACCAUUUAAGAAAGCACACUUCACAUCUAGUUGGUGCACUGUCCAAUUCUUUAGGCUAGCAAUUGCCACUACUGUUCUAAUAGUCUCAAUUCUAGCAACUGGUGCAAACACCUCUCUGUAGUCAAUCCCAACUUUCUGCAAAAAUCCUCUAGCCACAAGUCUAGCUUUAUACUUGACCACCUUGCCUUCUGGAUUUGUCUUAAUCUUAUAGAUCCACUUCAUAUCAAUGGGCUUCUUUGAUUUUGGUUGAGAUACCAGCUCCCACACUUGAUUUUUCUCAAUAGAUUUAAGCUUUUCUAUCAUAGCUUCAACCCACCUCUGAUCAGUCAUAGCAUCUUCAAAGUUUAUUGGUUCUGCUUCAGAAAACAGAGCAAAAUGUACAAGAUUCCCAUCUGCACUUACAUCAGCAUCAAACAACAUCUCAAAACCUUGAAAUCUAGCUGGUUUGGGUGCAUUUCUCUGGGGUCUCACUUCUCUUUGAGUGGUAUUACCAUUCCCUUCACUUGUUUCUUCCUCUUCUGACCUUAUCAUUAUUGAAGGUCCUUUCAUUUCAGUAUUCUGCUCCCAGUUCCAGCUUCUAGAUUCAUCAAAUACCACAUCCCUACUAAUUAUUAUCUGCUUACUCUUCGGAUCAAACAUCUUAUAGCCUCCAGUUGAGUGAUAUCCGAGUAAGAUCAUUUGUUCACCUUUAUCAUCUAGCUUCCUUCUUAACUGAUCUGGGAUAUGCCUAAAACAAAGUGAUCCAAAGAUUCUGAAAUGGCUCACAUUUGGUUUAGCACCACUCCAAGCUUCUUAAGGUGUUAUUCCUUCCAAUCUCUUUGAAGGGCUCCUAUUCAAGAUGAAGACAGCUGUAGACACUGCCUCUCCCCACAAGUACUUGGGCAGACUCUUGCCUUUCAACAUGCUCCUUACCAUAUUCAUUAUGGUUCUGUUUUUUCUUUCUGCAGCUCCAUUAUGUUGAGGUGUGUAGGGAGGAGUCACUUCAUGAAUUAUGCCUUCUUGAUCACAAAAUUCUUGAAAUUCUAUAGAAACAUAUUCACCUCCACCAUCUGUUCUUAAUAUCUUGAUCAAUGAGUCACUUUGCUUUUCUGCCAUAUUUUUGAACUUCUCAAAGACUUCAAAGACAUCACUCUUCCUUCUUAUUAGGUAAACUCAUACUUUCCUAGUCAAUUCAUCAAUAAAGGAUAUGAAGUAUCCGUUUCCACCCAGAGAUUCAGUUUGCAUAGGGCCACACACAUCAGAGUAAAUCACCUCAAGUUUCUCUUUUGCCCUGAUUGGUACAUUUUGUUUGAAAGUGCUUCUUGAUUGCUUACACUGUAAAUCAGCUGUAGACACUGCCUCUCCCCACAAGAAUGUGAUAACUCAUUCCCUGUGUGUUGUUUCUUUUUGGAUCUUGUGAUGAUCUCGAACCUUGUGUUUGUGGGAACAAAUGGUUAGGUGGAUAGCUUUAGAAAACCUCGUGCUAGAGGACGCCGAGACACAAUGCUCUGAUAGGACGUGACACUGGGACAUGAGUUUAAGCAUUAAUUACAUAAAGUUCUCGACAUGUAGUUUUUAUCAUUUUUGUUUCACAUGUUGAGUCUUUAGUUCAUUCUCUGGAGUUUUGGAUGACCUUGUUUUGAGCCGGAAAUGUUUUCAUACCCCUAAUUGAUAAGUUUUUUUAAUUUGGUGACUAAUGUGAAUAUGAACCUUUUACCCACAUGAACUCCUUAUAUUUAUUGAAUAAAAUCAUUUCAUGUAAUUCUGUAUUUCCAUGUAUUUUAUUAUAUAAAUAUGUAUAUCGGGGUAGAGGGUGUUAGAGUGUGUAUGUAAUAGAUUAUGUUUGUCAUUGUACAACAAUAAUAUAUAUUUUAAAUUCUAACUUAAGGUAGUUUAUAUAUACUUUCUAAAAAAAUAUGUUGCAUGCUCAAAUUUUAAACAAGUUCAUAGUUAUGCUUCUAAAUAUGAUGAAUUUUAUUAAACAUUAAAUUUUAAGUGUACAAGUUUACAUAUUAAUUUUUUUUAAUAUAGACCGAGUCAUGUGGGUCAACUAAUGACUCAUUGGGUCACUGGGUCACUGGGUGACCUAGUACCCCGAUUGAGUCAAUGAAAAAUUCGAGUAUGAUAAUACUGCUACAGGACCAAACCCACAUUGUACCUAAUAUGGGAUUAGGGCCAUUAAUGUUAUUUUUAAAAGUGAUUUUUUUCCAACUGUCCAAAAAAUAAUUUUAAAUUAAUCGACUAGGAUUAAUUUUAGUCGACCUCAACUAGGAUUAUUUGCUACCGACCUUGACAAAGGCUAUUUUUGGACGACCUCAAUGCGGAUUUUUUCCCCACCUCGUUCAAAGCAUUUUUUAUUGACCUUCGUCAAGGCAAUUUUGGACUGACCUUGUUAGGGUUGUUUUGGUCGACUUCGAUCAGAGCUAUUUUUGGUUGAACUCAAUCAAGGUUGUUUUUGGCUGACCUCGGUCAUGACUAUUUUUGGUCAACCUCGGCCAUGACUGUUUUCAGUCUACCUUGGUAGGGGUCGUUUUUGGCUAAACUUGGCUAGGGUUAUGUUCGACCAAUAUCAGCUAGGGUUAUUUUUUACCAACUCCGACCAGGAUUGUUUUUUGUCAACCACACCCAGGGUUAUUUUCUAUUGACCUCGAUCAAGUCUAUUUUUGGUUGACCUUGGUUGAGGUUGUUUAUGGUCGACCUCAACAUGGCUCAUUUUGGUUGACCUUGGCUAAGGUUAUUUUUUGUCAACCUCGGUUAGAGUUGUUUUUGGAUGACAUUGACGAAACUCUUUUUGGAUGACCAACCUAGACUAGGGUUAUUUUUGGCCAACCUCAACUACGGUUAAUUUUGGCUAAUCUCGCCUAUGGUUAUUUUCAGGCGAUAUUGUGUACGAUUAAUUUUGGCCAACCUCGGUUAUGGUUAUUUUUGGCCAACCUUGGUUGAGGUUAUUUUCAGCCAACCUCGACUAGGGUUAAUUUUGGCCGAUCUUGGCUGAGGUUAUUUUCGGCCAACCUCAACUAGGGUUACUUUUGGUCGAUUUCAACUAACCUCUUUUAUACAAUUUUUUACAUGCUCUACUAUAUAAAAAUAAAGAAGUAUGAUAUUGAAAUAUAUAUUUGAAUUAUGAGAAUUGAAAAGAAGGUCUAAUUUUUCGGCCCAUGGGCUAGUCCUAGCCCAUAAGCCUUUGUGGGCUUUUUCGCCCUAUGGGCCAUUUAUAUAUGUGGCCCAUUUUGGCCCUAGCCCACAUGGGCCAAGGCCAAAUGGGUUAGGGUUAGCUUAUUUGACAAGUCUAGUUAUUUGAUUCCACCACAAAUAACACAACGAAAUCAUGCAAUUACCCUUUUAAGCAACAACAUUAUGAUUUCGUUGUGUUUUUAAAAAAAUAGUUUUUUUACAAGAAAUUUUUUGUUUUCGUAAAAGUAAACUUUAAUGUUUUAUAUUGUGAUUUAAUAAUCAUAUUUAUGAUGGUAUGACAAGCCAACAGUGUCCUAGCUUGAUGCAAUGUGAAUCGUUUAUUUUGUCGGUGCAAUCUUGGUUGUUGCUGAUAAUUGACUCACGAUAGAACAAUACAAUAUGAUAAUAAAUACGAUUGGUAUGAGGAUGCUCAAUGCAUUGUGUUGGAUCUUUCACUAUAUUAGGUUGAAGAUGGAGGGGAGUAGUUGCUAUUGUGUAUUAUGAUGGUGAUGUGGUACAAACUUCUGAGGAGGUAUAGUUUGAAUGUCUAAAUGGUCCUAAAUUCAUAAAAAUUAGUGAGGAAAUGUUGCUUAUUGCUUUGAGGAAAGUAGUCACAAAUGUCAUCAAAGGCAAAAGAAGCAGGCAGAAGAAGCUUAUUUGAGGUUUUUUUUUAUCGUAAACAUAUAUAUGUAGGUAAUGGUUGUGCUUAGUAUGACUGCAUGGAGCUUAAAGACACAAUGAAGUGGGGAAAGCGUUUUUCAUCUUUUCAUAAUUUAGUUCUAAAGGUCUGAUCAAGUUGUAUGCAAUGGUUAGCUAUCUCCAAAAGAAUUCUUUGCCCUGGUGAGAAACCAAGAAAACCAAGACCUACCGAAGAAAUCAUUUCUAUGAUGUGUGGAUCAAUGGUGACAACAAGCUCUAAUGAAGAUCAUAACUCUAUUUAGUCAUGUUUUAAUUGAUGAAAUUUAUGUCAGUUUUGGUUGUUGUUGUUGUUGUUGUUUGUUUUUUGAAUUAAAUUGAAAUUUCGUUCUUUAUUACAUUAAUAGGCGUGUGUCAUUUAAACAUAUAAACAAGGCAAACAAAAACUACUAAAAAUAAGUUUUUAUAAAAAACAUCAUAAGUAAAAUACAUAAUAAUACAAAAUGAUUGAAAAAAAUCAUCAAAUGUCUUCAAGUGCCCUUAUGGCCACCUCCUCUGCCACCUUUGUUGGCUUUCUUCCUCGGCUACUCCUCAGUGACCUACAUCCAGCUGCAAGACCAUCGUGUGCCAUCAGCAGAAGUUGUUGUUUGACCUGAUGACUAUUUAUGCCUUUAGGUACAACUCUCAUGUCCAUUAGUCUCUAUGUGUACGCUGACAUCAUUUGGAAUCAAUCCUACAUAAAUAAAACAAUACAAUUAGUAAUUAUUUUUUUAUUAAAAAUAAAACAAAAUGAUGAAAAUAUUGUUUGCAUUACUUGAUAGGAGUAAACAACCCCUGAUACAUAAUCUAGCAUCUGAACACCACUAGCUCGUGGCCGAGGUUGAGGAGAAAUAUGUAUUAGGACUGUGUGGUGGCUCUCCCUCCUGUGGUGAAAGCAUGUAUGGAUGUGAAUGCUCUUAAUACCAAGGCAGGUAGUAUCGAGUGCAAGCCCAUGGAGCCCCAUGUGGAACAACCUUGACCACUGCCACUGCAUGCUUAUCUCACUCGGCCCAUGUCUGACAAUAAGGCUCAUAUUCUUUAGGAUGCUCAAAUGGGUCCAAGGGAAUCCAUUGUACGUACCCAAACUAUCUCAAAACCUUCUUUGAUAGAUAUAACCACAUGUAUAUCCUAACUCCAAUGUAGGCAGGGUACGAUGUCUAGUCGUCAAAAGGUAUGAGGUCUUUGGGUGAUGCAUAUUGGGACCAGACAACAUCAGUCAUCUAUAGCCUAUCCAAUAACUCCCUAGUCCCAACAACCUUGUUAGUACCCCUCAACGGCAUGUUGCGAUGCUUGCGGUCAUGAUCCAACACCUUUUCACUACAAGGAAUGGUCGAAAAAGGCUCAAACACCCAUGCUUGUAAAACAUGAAAUAUAUUUUUAGCAUCAAGUAGUACUAAAAAAAACAUCAAUUAUGUAUACAAAAUUAAAUUGUUCUUACUAUGAGUAGAGUCAUAUAAGCUCACAUAUGUUUGUUGGUAUACUUGUAAGCAUAUGUCAAUUGGUCAUAAAGAUAAGCCAACGUAGUUGCCCCCAAGCGUACUUAUAGCAUCAAUCCAAAUCACCGAGGUACUAGAGGUAGCAGAUGUGUACACUCGUCAAGUUCUUCUCGACAAAUAUGGUAUUGUCAAGCAAAUGCAGAAAAUACACCUUGGCAACCCAAACAAAUGACUCAUUGGAAACGUAACUGUGAUAAGGCUCUCUAACAAACUCAGAGGCACCUUAUUGCUUGAUGACGUUGCAACAUCUACCUCCUGGUCCAUCAUAAUUCCAAGCUCUAACCUUACUAGACCUCUAAUCUCCUUUGUGGCGUAGGUCGUGUCUGUUUGAUCAAGAAAACAAACGAUGAUAGAAAGAUGUAAAAGGCAUGACAAAUAAUUAAGGGUAAUGGUCAUCUCUCUUAUAGAAAGGUGGAAGGAGGAGGUCACACUGUGCCAUCUCUCAAUAAAGACAUUGACUACGCCUUUAUUUGUGGACAUGUACCGCGCAUCAUACAGGCCCUUUAGCCUUGACCUAUCCACGUACCUCUUCAUCAUUGAAUUGGUGGGGUAGUGCAUAACCUUGCCACCAUGGCUGACCAGCUUCAGCUCAUCUUUGGGUUGACUGAUCCAUACAUGGCCAACUAUGUGGUCCUUAUAGGAUCGAAGCAGACUCAAAUACAUAAGACUUCCUCCAAUUGGGGAUUUGAUGAUAUGGUUAGUAGGCGAUAUUUGUGGUUGUUGUGGCUUUGGUUGUGCCUUAGGCUAUGGCUCCGGUUGUGCCUGUGCCUCCGGCUCUUGUCAAGAAGCCUUUGAAUCACAACAUGCUGACAUAGUCACGCGUUGCCUCUGAAACUCAACAUCUGAUACAAAGGCAAUAAGCUUUGUGUGAUCCAUCUAAAAAGGGUAGGAAUAUCAAUUAAACAAUAAAUUAGAUAAUUUAAAAACAAAAAAUUGAUGAAUAACACAACAAAAUCGUAUUUCUGUUAUGGUUUUAUAAAAACAACAUAUCAAAAAUACGAUUUUAUUGUGCUAUUUGAUAAAUAAUACAACAUAACCGUAUUUUAAUUGUACUUUUUUCAAAACGAAAAAAAAUAACACAAUGGAAGUGUGAUUCCGUUGGGUUCUAGGUUCAUAAUCACAAUAGGAUCGUACUUCCAUUGUGUUUUUGUUUUGUUUUGAAAAACACCACAACAUAGUUACGAUUCAGUUGUGAUUUUCAACACAGGACAUAAUGGAACUAGUAUUCCAUUGUAUUCUGGGUUGAGAAUCACAAUGAAAUUGUACUUUUGUUGUGGUGUUUUCCAAAACAAAACAAUAAAACACAACAAAAGUAGGAUUCCGUUGUGAUUCUCAACCCAGAACACAACGAAAUCACACAACUAUUGUGUAUAAAAAAGAAAAAAAAUAACUUAAUAGAGCUCCAAAAUGAGAAAUGAAUGGAGAAGAGAGAAGGGUCUUCGACGAAAAUGAGAAAAUGAAAGGGAGCGGGAAAGAAUGAAGGAAGAGAAUGAGAGGGAGUGGGAUUGAAGGGACUUGGAUGAGAGGAAGAAAAUGAGAAGGAGUGAGUGAGAUAGAGAGAGGGAGAGAAAGAGAGAUGUUUAAGAGGAAGGGGAAAGGGUGGGGGUGAGAAGAAGGGGUGGGCAGAUGCGAAAGGGAAGGGGUGGGGGUAAGGGGAAAUUUCCUUAAGGACAAUUUCAUAUUUCCAUUACCAUUUUCAAAAAUGGUAGUGCCAAUAACAGUGGGAGGUAGUGAGAAUAACAAUUCCCAAAUAAGUGGAUUAUGCAAGCUAGCCUAUGAGCCCACAGAAUACGUCGUCAAGUCCACUGGUUUCAUGGGCCAAACUCAAGUAUUGCCUAUAGUUAUGUGGGUUAAAAAAAGCAGGUUCGUUAUCCACGCGGUCCGCUGGCUUAACGGGCUGACCCACGAACUUAGGCCCAUAUACCCACCUCUAGUGAUGGCGAGAUGAGGACGACAAUGAUAAUGACUACGAUAGCAACAAAAUAGUGAUAGUAGUGAUAUUGAGUGGUAGUAGAAAUAGUGGAGUGACAGUGAUUUCCUAUUUAAACGCCCAAGGUGGCUUUCCUAGUCCAAAAUUCGUUACACUAAAAAAGUGGCUCAAUAGGCCUAGAACGGGUGGAAAAGAAAAGUAAAUUUAAAUAAUAAUUGUAUAAUAUUUUUAUAUUAAAUAAAAAGUAAAUUUAUCUUUUAAAAAAACAUCAUCCCAUUUAAUGGUACAUUGAUAUUUUUUUUUACUUUUAUAUAAAAAAUAAAAUAAAAAAACUAACAAUCCUCCCCUCAGCUUGCUUGUUUUAAAAAAUAAAAUAAAAAACAUCAUCCCAUUUAAAUGAAAUUUGUUUUUAUUUUUAAUUAUUCAAAGACGGUCAUUAUAAUAAGACCGUCUUUGUAUCAGCUUGCUUGUUUAUUAAAGGCGGUUAUUUCAAUAAUCGUUGUUGUCAACUUUUAGAAAAUUACAAUAAUGCCACCGCUAUUAUUUUUACAACGUGUGAUAUUCAACCGUGGUAAGUGUGAUGUCGUAAAAUAACAUUAUUGUAGUAGUGUUAAUAUAUUUUAACUUUAAAAAAAACUUCUGAAUUUUACUUUAUAAAUUACUGGUCAGUAAAAUACAACGAAGGCCUUAGAUCCAUGUUGAAGGAAUGACAAUCGGAGAGUGGAGGCAUAAUCUACUACUCCUACUUUGACACUUUUGCCUGCCAUCAACGACCUUAUUCAGACUCCAGCUUCUUAUGGUACCAUUUUAUACCUACAAUAACAUAUCCAAAUAAGUUCUCAGUUAUCAGCCCUUCCUAUUGUGCUCCUAAGGCUCUUAACUUACAAAUUAACACAAAGAAAGGUGUCACUUAUGACGUAAAGGGUAACCGUGUAUUUUAUAUAAAAGAUACUUUGUUCACAUUUCACGGUCGUCGUGUGUUAUGUGAUGAUAAAGGAAACCCCAUCGUCACUCUAUAUAAGAAGGUAUGUUACUGAUCUAGGAGACAUCUUAUACUCAGCGAUUUUUUUUCUAUUAAUUAAAUUAACUAAAUUGAUAUUAUAUAUUCUUAAUUUUUAUUUUUUAUCAGCAAAUAUUAAUUAUUAAUUUUGGUAGUUUUUUUAGUGAAAUAAAUUUGAAUCCAUAACCUCUCUCUUUUCUUCUUUCUUUAACUAUCAAAUCAAUCUUAUAUAAUUUAGUAUUCUUAAUUUUUGUUUAUAUGUAGAAUGUGACAUUGCACGGGCAAUGCAAAGUUUUCAGGGGUAAUACCUCUGAGUUGCUCUUUUCGGUGAAGAGAUCGUCAAUAAUCCCGAGUGGGAAUAUGCUUAGAUUAGAUGUCUUCCUUGGAAACAAGAGAAAAGGAAGCAUGUGUGAUUUUAGAGUCAUCGUUCGUGGAAGUAAAAAUUCAUGCACUAUUUAUGCCGGUGAAUCUCCAACUAUUGUUGCCAAGGUGUGUAUUGCAUGUGUUCUGGGCAUGUUUUUAUAUACACAUUAAUUUAAUUGCCUAUCUAGUAUGGGUUUGGA
rnacentral:lncRNA from 1 species